AAUAGGAUCAUGCUCUUCAUGGGGUUUGGUGGAAAGCUUUUGCGGCGUGGGAUGGGCCCGCGGCCUAUCAGCUUGUUGGUGGGGUAAUGGCCUACCAAGGCGACGACGGGUAGCCGGCCUGAGAGGGUGACCGGCCACACUGGGACUGAGAUACGGCCCAGACUCCUACGGGAGGCAGCAGUGGGGAAUAUUGCACAAUGGGCGCAAGCCUGAUGCAGCGACGCCGCGUGAGGGAUGACGGCCUUCGGGUUGUAAACCUCUUUCACCAGGGACGAAGCGCAAGUGACGGUACCUGGAGAAGAAGCACCGGCCAACUACGUGCCAGCAGCCGCGGUAAUACGUAGGGUGCGAGCGUUGUCCGGAAUUACUGGGCGUAAAGAGCUCGUAGGUGGUUUGUCGCGUUGUUCGUGAAACUCACAACUCAAUUGUGGGCGUGCGGGCGAUACGGGCAGACUAGAGUACUGCAGGGGAGACUGGAAUUCCUGGUGUAGCGGUGGAAUGCGCAGAUAUCAGGAGGACACCGGUGGCGAAGGCGGGUCUCUGGGCAGUAACUGACGCUGAGGAGCG
rnacentral:rRNA from 1 species